GUUAUGAUCUAGUAUACGUUUCAGUUCUUUAGAAAUGAGCCAUGAAUACUGCCUCUCAGCAACAGUUUAUUGUCUACAGCUGUAAAUUGGUCAACUGUUGGUUUGUUGAAGUCACACUUUACAAGUGGAAUAAAGCUCUUGUCUUUCUUAUUACUACAAGACUCAAGACUGAUGAUCAAACUGUUGCUGAAAAGGAUUGUAAUGUCAACUGCAAUUCAUACUCAUACCAUCCCUAACUACAUUCAUAUCUUAAGAAUAAUUUUAAUGUUUUUGGAAAAAUAUUUAAGGCAUUAAUAUUACAUUCAUACUAACUUCUGGAAUUUGCUUAGCACUUAGAAGAGGAAAAUAAAAUUUAGAGCAAAA